rnacentral:rRNA from 1 species
GUGGGGAAUUUUGCCAUUAUGGGCGCAAGCCUGAUCCAGCCAUGCCGCGUGUUCUGAAGAAGGCCUUCGGGUUGUAAAGGACUUUUGUCAGGGAAGAAAAGGCUGUUGCUAAUACCGACAGUUGAUGACGGUACCUGAAGAAUAAGCACCGGCUAACUACGUGCCAGCAGCCGCGGUAAUACGUAGGGUGCGAGCGUUAAUCGGAAUUACUGGGCGUAAAGCGAGCGCAGACGGUUACUUAAGCAGGAUGUGAAAUCCCCGGGCUCAACCUGGGAACUGCGUUCUGAACUGGGUGACUAGAGUGUGUCAGAGGGAGGUAGAAUUCCACGUGUAGCAGUGAAAUGCGUAGAGAUGUGGAGGAAUACCGAUGGCGAAGGCAGCCUCCUGGGAUAACACUGACGUUCAUGCUCGAAAGCGUGGGUAGCAAACAGGAUUAGAUACCCUGGUAGUCCACGCCCUAAACGAUGUCAAUUAGCUGUUGGGCAACUUGAUUGCUUAGUAGCGUAGCUAACGCGUGAAAUUGACCGCCUGGGGAGUACGGUCGCAAGAUUA